CAGACGGAUGACUACCAUGACAGGAUACGGUCUGAAUCGAUCAAUACUGGAAAUAGAUGACGUAAAGGUGGUGAAGUUUUCAAGUUUAACAAUGGUAUAAAAGUCCAUCUCCGACAAUGGCCUGGUCGAUAUAUAAGACGGCUCAACAGAUGCAACAAUACAUCCACGAAUGAUUAAUUGUACAAAACUACAAACGUUUUACAUGCAGAAAUAAAAAAUAUAACAAAAAUGAAACAAA